GUGGGGAAUUUUGGACAAUGGGCGCAAGCCUGAUCCAGCAAUGCCGCGUGCAGGAAGAAGGCCUUCGGGUUGUAAACUGCUUUUGUACGGAACGAAACGGUCCUGGCUAAUAUCCGGGGCUAAUGACGGUACCGUAAGAAUAAGCACCGGCUAACUACGUGCCAGCAGCCGCGGUAAUACGUAGGGUGCGAGCGUUAAUCGGAAUUACUGGGCGUAAAGCGUGCGCAGGCGGUUUUGUAAGACAGGCGUGAAAUCCCCGGGCUCAACCUGGGAAUUGCGCUUGUGACUGCAAGGCUGGAGUGCGGCAGAGGGGGAUGGAAUUCCGCGUGUAGCAGUGAAAUGCGUAGAUAUGCGGAGGAACACCGAUGGCGAAGGCAAUCCCCUGGGCCUGCACUGACGCUCAUGCACGAAAGCGUGGGGAGCAAACAGGAUUAGAAACCCCGGUAGUCC
rnacentral:rRNA from 1 species